UCCUACGGAGGCAGCAGUGGGGAAUAUUGGACAAUGGGCGAAAGCCUGAUCCAGCCAUGCCGCGUGUGUGAAGAAGGUCUUCGGAUUGUAAAGCACUUUAAGUUGGGAGGAAGGGCAGUAAGUUAAUACCUUGCUGUUUUGACGUUACCGACAGAAUAAGCACCGGCUAACUCUGUGCCAGCAGCCGCGGUAAUA
rnacentral:rRNA from 1 species